UUAUCUGUUUGUGACUAUGUAGUGUCACCAAUACAUGAUGAUAUCUUUUGGGAGAAUGCACACUGUGGUGACCACAUCGUUCGGGAUAUUGUGGAUGAACUGAUCUCUGACUUCAUUAAAAGUGAAAAAGAAAACAACAGUGAAGAAGCCAUCUAGCUGGCAUACAGAGGUCAGUGGUUUUACACAGGCGCAUGCCAGAGAUGAAAUAAUGCACAGAAGGGCACCUGGUGUCUUCUACCAUCAAAGCUGGAAAGCCACCAUAUGACCUAUAACUGUGUUGGUGCAACAUAAAACCAAACCAAACAAAACAUACUAGAUUACCAGCGAUGACUGUAGAUACACAAUUGCUUUUUUGUCUAGUGAAAAACCCAUUAACUUAAUGGUUCUCUAAUUAGAUUUAUACAUUUCAUCAGCAUGAAACUGGAUUUGUUGGUUUGCUUUUCUUUUGUAAUUUUACAUGGUUUAAUACUUAAUAUUAUUUAGCUCACAUGAGCAUAAAAUUUUAUUGUUGUACCCAUGUGUCCAUUGUCUUCCACCAAUAACAUUUUUAACUCUUUUGCUAUAAAAUUUCUUAAAUAAAACAUUUAUAAUAAUUGAAGAUGAAAAAAGUACAAACAGAUAAUGUGUUGGUACUUUGUAGAAAGAACAUCACUGGCAUGUUGAAAACCAAGAUGGCAAAUAAUAAACCAGUCCUGUGAAAAGGUAUUUUAAUAUCCAA